UACGGAGGGUGCAAGCGUUAUCCGGAUUCACUGGGUUUAAAGGGCGCGUAGGCGGGUUGGUAAGUCCGUGGUGAAAUCUCCGAGCUUAACUCGGAAACUGCCGUGGAUACUAUCAAUCUUGAAUAUCGUGGAGGUAAGCGGAAUAUGUCAUGUAGCGGUGAAAUGCUUAGAGAUGACAUAGAACACCAAUUGCGUAGGCAGCUUACUACACGAUCAUUGACGCUGAGGCACGAAAGCGUGGGGAGCAAACAGG
rnacentral:rRNA from 1 species